CUAGGGUUUCCGCCACCGCCGCCGGAGAGGGGAGGGGAGGAGUGUAGAAGGACCAGAGCGAGAUGGCCGGACGGCUCCUCGGGCAGCUCCUCGUCAUGGGCAGCGCCGUCGUCGGCAGGGCCGUGGUGCAGGCCUACCGCCAGACCAUCGUCAGAUAUGCAGGGAGGUCGGCCCUUGUCCAGGGGAAGAUCAGCACCAUGACG